rnacentral:rRNA from 1 species
UACGGAGGGAGCUAGCGUUGUUCGGAAUUACUGGGCGUAAAGCGCACGUAGGCGGCUUUGUAAGUUAGAGGUGAAAGCCCGGAGCUCAACUCCGGAAUUGCCUUUAAGACUGCAUCGCUUGAAUCCAGGAGAGGUGAGUGGAAUUCCGAGUGUAGAGGUGAAAUUCGUAGAUAUUCGGAAGAACACCAGUGGCGAAGGCGGCUCACUGGACUGGUAUUGACGCUGAGGUGCGAAAGCGUGGGGAGCGAACGGG